rnacentral:misc_RNA from 1 species
UGGUUUCAUGAUAUUAAUGUAUAUUUUCGAAACUUAUUUGGAUAUUCGGCAACACGCUGCUCUGAAACUGCCAACUCUUCCCAAAACUUUGGAAGGAGUUAUAAGCCAAGAGAAAUUUGAAAAAUCCCGGGCUUACAGUCUCGAUAAAAGCCACUUCCAUUUUGUUCAUGAGUUCGUAACUAUAGUGAUGGAUUCUGCUAUACUGUUUUUUGGAGUA